rnacentral:rRNA from 1 species
CGGACGGGUGAGUAACGCGUGAGAAUCUGCCUCUGAAUGGGGGAUAACGAGUCGAAAGAUUCGCUAAUACCGCAUAGGCCGCAGGUUAAAGGAGCAAUCCGUUCAAAGAUGAGCCCGCGUCCGAUUAGCUAGUUGGUAAGGUAAAAGCCUACCAAGGCGACGAUCAGUAGCUGGUCUGAGAGGACGAUCAGCCACACUGGGACUGAGACACGGCCCAGACUCCUACGGGAGGCAGCAGUGGGGAAUUUUCCGCAAUGGGCGAAAGCCUGACGAAGCAAUACCGCGUGAGGGAGGAAGGCUCUUGGGUCGUAAACCUCUUUUCUCAGGGAAGAACACAAUGACGGUACCUGAGGAAUAAGCAUCGGCUAACUCCGUGCCAGCAGCCGCGGUAAUACGGAGGAUGCAAGCGUUAUCCGGAAUGAUUGGGCGUAAAGCGUCCGCAGGUGGCAAUGUAAGUCUGCUGUUAAAGAGUCUAGCUCAACUAGAUAAGAGCAGUGGAAACUACAUAGCUAGAGUACGUUCGGGGCAGAGGGAAUUCCUGGUGUAGCGGUGAAAUGCGUAGAGAUCAGGAAGAACACCAGUGGCGAAGGCGCUCUGCUAGGCCGUAACUGACACUGAGGGACGAAAGCUAGGGGAGCGAAUGGGAUUAGAUACCCCAGUAGUC